rnacentral:rRNA from 1 species
UACGGGGGGAGCAAACGUUGUUCGGAAUCACUGGGCGUAAAGGGCGUGUAGGCGGCUGGAUAAGUGGGAUGUUAAAUCCCCCGGCUCAACUCGGGAACUGCGUCCGAUACUGGCGGGCUUGAAUCCGGGAGAGGGAUGCGGAAUUCCAGGUGUAGCGGUGAAAUGCGUAGAUAUCUGGAGGAACACCGGUGGCGAAGGCGGCAUCCUGGACCGGCAUUGACGCUGAGGCGCGAAAGCUAGGGGAGCAAACGGG